UAUACAAUAAAAUAACAAACCUUGUAUGGAUAAAUGUUCAUUUCACACGCACGCUAUUAACAGCUGCUUAAUAAUUAACUUAUGUAUUCGUAAACAUUUAGGCCACAUAAAAAAAAUUACUUGUUUAGCGUCCCCGCCCGACCUGAUAAAAGUCCCCGACCUCCAAUUUUUUUUUUUUUUUUUUAAAUCCGUCCGAGUUUAGUGCAAAAACUCUCUAUAAAAAAGACCGUUUUACUUGAAAAAAUGGUGAUUUUAUUCUUCUGGGAGCUAUGUAAUACGUUUACUCCUUCCUCGCAGCUAAAGUGUUCGCGCGUGACCGCCAAACGGUAUAAUCAUUUCUGUUUUAUUAAAAACAUGAACGGUAUUAAAAAACAUGAACGGAUUUUGAAAGAAUUAAAGUGAGUUUUGACUGUGGUAAUAUACUGG